rnacentral:tRNA from 1 species
AUCUUUUAGUAUAAUUGAGUAUGUUUGAUUUCCAAUUAAAAGGUUUAAAAGAUUA